UAAUUUUAACAAUAAUUUUAGAGAUAUGUCUGUCACGCCCCGCAAGAAGCCGCAUGCAGUGGGGGUAGUUGGAGGAGGUGGAGGCGGACAAAAUAUACAAGUUUUCGUCAGGUGUCGUCCGUUGAACAGUUCUGAGAAAGCUGCCAGAUCCUACAGUGUCGUA